AGUGGGUGCACCCAGAGGUACUCAGUCAUCGGGCUUAGGGCAGAAUGCGGAGAAACCAGGAAGCGUAUUUGAAUGCACCGUCGGAGAGUCUGUUCAAUGCAGGUCUAUCACAAUCGACAAUCCUUAUGGGACAGAUGCCGAGUCCCUCAAUACGGAAGGGAUUGUGGAUUAUCCAGAUAAUGGCUGGAUGGGCGUUUCUAUUGCUCACCAACAGGGGGCAAAUAAUGAACUCACAGUCUGUGGACAUCGUUAUGGAAAUAACUAUGCCAUCGUCCAGCCCAACGCAGACCUUUCUGAUGUAAAGAUAGAUCGUUAUACCCAGGGUAUAUGCAUCACACUAGACUCAGGUUUACAAGAUGUGUAUACCAGGUUUAACCCCUGUGCAGAAGAGAGCGCAUGGAGAGAUGAUCUAGUUGCAAAUGAAUCAACGCGCUGGCAAGGUUGGUGCCAGUUUGGUAUGAGCGCAGCUUACGCAAAAGAUGGUGAGGAUUCAGAAACCUUCGUCGCUGGUGCACCUGGAUCAUAUGACUGGACUGGUACUAUAUUCAAGCAACAAAUUGACACAGAUAAUCAAAUGGAUUCUGGUGUUUUAAGGGACUGGAAUACAGACUAUUCAUAUGAUGACUUCUUUCAAUAUGUCGGUUACUCUACAACUGUGGGAUAUUUCAGAACAAAUACCACUCAACAGGGUGCUUCGGGAGCGCCCAGGGCUGGAGGGUUAGUUGGCAAAGUUUACAUCCAUGACCUUCAAACAUUUCAAGUUUAUCAAGAGUUGCAAGGAGAGAUGAUGAAUACAUACUUUGGAGGUGCAGUAGCUGCUCUGGAUAUCAAUGGAGAUGGCUUCUCAGAUCUCCUUGUUGGUGCCCCACUGUAUUCCGUAGACCAAGAUGAAGGCAGAGUCUAUGUUUACAUCAACAGCGGAGGUACGAAUCCUGAUCUUGUACUCCAUCAAACGCUUGAUGGGACAUCGACUCCAGGCUCCAGGUUUGGCCAUGCUAUUGUCAGUCUCAACGACAUAACGGACGAUCUUCUGCCAGAAAUAGCGAUAGGGGCACCAUACGAAGGAGGAGGAGUGGUCUACAUAUACCAGUGUAUUGCAGGCGGAGUCGACGAGGCAUACUUACAGAGGAUUGAUGGAAGAGAUACAGAUCCUAAUGUUCAAACCUUUGGAAGCGCCAUCGCUGGAGGAGGGGAUAUUGACGAUAACUUUUACCCUGAUCUUGCCGUUGGAGCUUAUGCCAGCGAUUCUGUCUUUGUCUAUAAAACGAGACCCCUGCUUGACCUUGUGGUCACGCUGACGGUGACCCCCGACCCUCUCGAUCCAAAAAAUCCAUCGUGCAUAGAUUCAGUAGGUACAUGCAUAGAAAUUUCAGUCUGCUUCACCUACUCUGGGCCAAGAAAGGAAGCAUUACCUCAAUAUAUAGAUGUCAUAUUUGACAUUGAGUUGGACAAGGAGAAGACCGCAGCUGGAUUCAAGCCUCGAUUCCUGUUACAAAAUGGAACAGAAAUGUUAAACGAGUUAAGCGCUGCAAAGCAGAUCCGUAUGAAUGUUGAUAUAUGCUUCGAUUACAAAGCAUACCUUCAGAGUACUGCAUCAGACUUUCUCAGCCCCGUUCCUGUUGAUCUGACUUAUAUCCUGAGAGACUAUGAGCAUGAAGGACCACCACGUCAAGAUAGACCUCAGCAGUUUCCGUAUGGAAUCCCUCCCUUAAUGCUCAGCCCUCAGUGCCGAUCCAUCACAACAGUUGAAGAUCUCAAUUUUGUGAGAGAUUGUGGUGUCGAUGCCCUCUGCAGAACUGAUCUGAAACUGAUAGCCAACGUUUCAAUUGAAGGAAAUCCAACAGAGAUUAUUUCUGGCGGUCCAUCCAGACUCUACGUCAACGCCAGGAUCGAGAACGACGGGGAAGAGGCGCAUCAGGCUGUUCUUACCAUUACCCACCCUUACGACAUGAGAUAUGAGGGUCUUGAAACUAACGAGUUGUCUUGCCUUGAUGAUAAUGAAUGCGAUGCAAGAGCUCUUGUACUUUGUGAACCAACGGUGGCAGGCGUGAAAUGCGACCUGGGAAAUCCUAUGAAUUCUUACAUAGUGAGCACUCUCCGGCUUCGCUUUGACAUCGGGGGUCUUAUCUAUGACCCUGGUAGAAUCGUCAACAUUGUGAUAUCAGCUAACACUAGUAGUUUGCAGACCCCUGAAAGCCUUGCUGACAACAUCCUUGAAGUUGAUUAUAAGCUGGUCAUAGGUGCAGAUGUUGGAAUUUUUGGGUCCAGUACCCCUGAGAGUGUAUACUAUGUCAGUAAUGGUUCAAACUACGCCACUGCACAAGCAGCUGAGAAGUCUCUCCAAGCGGCUGUAAACAUGUCGCUUAUAUCGCCUACAUCACCGUCCUUCAACGACACACACAUUGGAAGCCCGUUCACACUCUCAUACCAGAUCACCAAUGACGGUCCUGGUCAACUACCAUUCUCUUCUGUGGUCACUAUUCACAUUCCAUGGCGUAUGCUCAACGGCGAUUGGCUUAUCUUCAUUAAAAAUAUCAAUAUAAUAGAUAGAACGAACACUGGAUCCUGCAACGGUGAAGAAAUAAUAGAACUCCAGAAUAGACGGCUCCUAGAGAGAUAUAGAGGGACCUCCUUCUAUCGUGAUCCCGCCCCUGAAGAAGAUAUAUCGCCCAUCUUUGACACCAGCGAGGGCAACCAACAACUGGGAUGCACUCAAGCGAAGUGUGUAGCAUUAACGUGUUAUGUUAACCAGAUGCAAGCACGUCAAGUUGUGGAGGUUAGGAUAGACGCAAUUCCGUGGGAACACACCAUUAUUACGAGGAGGCUUGGCUAUGUUGAGAUCCUGACAGAAGCUGAGUUUGUUGCUCAAUCACCGAGUGGAAGUUUUGGGCAAGGAGAAGACGCCAACCCGGAUAGGAUACAGCUUCCAAUCAAGCUUUACACCGAAAUGAAAGGAGCUGGUGAAUUACCCAUCUGGAUAAUCAUCGUCAGUAUACUUGCUGGUCUCAUUCUACUCAUCGUCCUCAUCCUCUUAUUAUGGAAGUGUGGCUUCUUCAAGAGAAAGACUCGCAAGGACUGGGAAGAAGAAGCAGAUGGUGCUGCCCCAAUGCCCAUUAAACCUCCAGUAGACCCUACCGGCGAACUAGACGGCUCUGAUUUACCAAUGAUGAAAGGACUGGCAGCAAAAGAGUAACAUCCCUAUUCCAAUCUUCAGGAUCUUCCAAAACUUGCAAUAUAAGAGAGACUUUCCCAUGGAUGCUAGCUCUUUUCUGUGUACUGAAAGAUCCCCUGUGUAGUAAUUUGUCUGCUGGUACUGGUUGUUUAAAAGCACCUCUUUUUGGUACCUGAACGAAUUCUGUGCCACGUUUGGUAGCAGCUAUCAGCCAGAAUCCCACCCAGCAUCUUUUCUUUUGUAGUCGUCCAAGUUGUGUGUAUAGGCAAAACAACAAGGGAUUAAGAAAGCUGUUGUGAUGUGCAAAGUUCUAUGCUAUGUUUAGCCGCAGCUUUCGGCUGGAAUCACACCCAGCCUCUUAUGUAGACUUCCAAGUUGUGUUUAGCCAAAACAACAAGGGAUUUAGAAAGAACGAUGUUGUGAUGUGCAAAGGUCCAUGGUAUUUUUAAGAUCACUUUUCAGCCGGAAUCCCAACCAGUUUUUUUUCCUUUAUAACCCCUCAAGUUGUCCAUAAGCAAUGACGAGGGAUUUGGAAAGCUUCCUGUGGUACCGUACUUGCGGUGGAGAAAAUGAAUGAGAUUCAUGUAAACGUGCCUUAAUUUGAACGAUAAUAUAAUUACUUGAUUGAAGGGAAAAGAAAUUGUCAUCUAAUCAUUGAACCAGCAAAGAACUCUUCCAAGUUCCAUUAAAAGACUUAGAUAAUUGAUAGAUAUAGAGAACACUUGAAACAUUUUAUGCAAUCAUUUCCAGUUUUGAUAGUUGAGAUAUAUAUUAAUAUUUCAUCAUUAUUUGUGGUAUUUCAUAAACUUGUUGAUAAUUUAUGUACACUUUAUGCAUGACUAGUUACUUGAACUUUUCAGAGUCUCAAAUUUUGUUUCUCAUCAGCUAUUUGAUUUUUCUAAAUUGCGUGCUUCAUUCAAUAAAAAACAAUCAAACUAAACAGAUCAUUAAGAGAACAGAAAUCUGAUCUUUGCAGAUCUUUUGUCAUGAAUAAGCAUCAGAAUGCAAAAUUUAUUCUUUGUAAACAUUUUCAAGGGUUAUAGGAAAUUAAUGUCUGUUAUGUUAAAACCAGAAGUAUUUAAACUCGGGUUACUAGUCAUGCUUGAAGUUGUGCGUAAAUUACAAAUAACAUUAUGAAACACCCCUGAUUAUAUGUGCAUAUGUUGUAUGUAGGCCUUUGUCUGCAUUCCCAUACAUGACAUAUAUUAAGGAAAUGUAGCCGACUAGAACCUUUCCCUGCAGUUGAUAUUGUAAUAUUUAUGAUAUUUAUAAUAUGGACUGCUAGAAUAGAGAGUUUGCAUUUAAAUGCCAAUUUCGAAUAUUUAGCAAUUGCUAAAAGGUGUCAGUACAAGGUUUUUAGCUGGAUAGUACUGGGUUGAAAAUUAUUGUACAAAUUUACACAUAAAACUUAUUCUGCACCAAAGACUUUUUAAGUAAUUUGAUAUAUGCUGGUAUUUUUUCACUGGUUGUCAGUGCCUUACUACAAAUGAGGACAAUAUGUUAAUGGCACUUAUUAGGUUAUCUUUCUGUUGACAGAUUACCUUUUAUGUCUCUACAAAUUUUCUUUUUAUUUCUUUAUUUUUAUUAUUGUUUAUUUUCCUCAUUCCACCCUUUUCUUUUUCCCACAAAAUCUCCAAAACUCCUUUAUCAAUUUUCAUCAAUAUUUUUUCAUUUAUGCGGACCUAUCAUGCGAUGUGUAUGAAACAAGUUCAAGCUCAAAUAAUUAUCAUGACGUCAUCUAGGCGCCAUUUUGUAAAAUCAGAUUAUCAAUCAUAUCUCCAUUAUCAUUUCUCAAAAAUCAAACAUAUGUACAUCAUAUCAACUUCAAGUCAAGGGUCAACUAUCCAUGCCAUUAAGGUCAUGCACUUGCAAAAGUCAAUUUUAGAUUAUGUUUCAUUCUUUGCCUUAUGGGUGUAAGAGAAAUAUUGUGGUCGAAUGGAUAGUGCAUCUGCCUUAUAAAGCGAGGGUCCCUGGUUUAAAACCCACUUGAAGUUUUUACUAUUUAUUUAUUUGUAUCCUUUUGCUCAUAACACAUUUAUCAUGUGCAAAGUUUUUUUUACUCACACGGUACACAAAAGUGUAUCCAAAUGAGAUACUGUUACUCCAUGAGUAUACCCUCCUCAAAUUAUGACUUGAUAUCAUGCCAUAUCAUUUUCUCACUAGGAUCUUAUUUUUUAUGGAGUUUGUCACGUUUUAGACAUCUCGUAUGCAAAUAAAUUUGCUCACUUGAUAGUUAAGAAAGGAAAAA